GAAAAGAAUAUUGAGGUUAAAGGCUGAGCUCUGGUUACCGUUCUUUCAUUUGUAUGUAAAGCCUCUCAAAUUCUUUAGUCACAUCGUAAUAGAUUCUCCUAUAUGCAUAAUGAAUAAUGAUGUCAAAAGAAACCCCUGAACUUAGAAUUACUUCCACCUCUUUAUCUUCUUAGUUAUAAUAAGGCAUGAGUGAGCUUUUGGUAUAUUUAAUGAGAUAUAGAAAGGUAUUUACCCCCCUGUUAUCUCGCAACUCCAAAACCUGGUAAGUCUCUGGCCAAACCUGAAUUUAGAUGAAUGGACUUCAAACGAAAGGAUUUUCUUACAAAAGCUAAAAAAAUAUAACGGCAUGGUGAGAAUGGGAAAAUGAAAAUAGAAAGCAAAAGAAAAAGUUUCCAUCCGAUAAGACAAGUACAAAAUAAUCCAAGUUCUUAUUUGCCAUGCCAAUAUUAUUCAUGAAGAACUAAUCUGAUUUCUUUUCCAGAUAAGGUUAGUAACAAUUAAUCUGCAAAAUAACUGAACCAACUUGGUUAUUUUGACAUUACUCUUUCUCUUCUACGCUCAUUUUCUGCAUGGUUGCGGUUCAUCAACGGCCACGUUCACCAAAACGAGUCCACUCUCCCCACUUCACUUAUUUCCCCACCGUUAUGUCUCUCAAAGUGCAGCAGCAAGACAUGAACUCCUAUCAUUAUGAGCAAUAUAAAAAGCCCUCCUAAAAAUCCACCACCUGUUUGGCCAGAGAAACUCCAUUACUCAUUUCCACUCUCUCAAUUUUCAGCCCUUUCAUCAAAACACAAGCAUUACUUACCCAUGUUUAGACAUUAUUUAUUUUUCUGAUAUCACAUCAUUCGCCGGGGCGGGGGGGGACAAUUAACUGAUUUCAGCACAUAAAUUACAACAAGCUGGUCAAUUCACGUAAAUAAGGAAAAUUAACUCAAUCAAGUGAAGUAGGCACAAAAUGACCUCAAUGAGAUAUCAGAGACCUCUAAAAUCAAAUCAAAUUCAGUUAAACAAAGAAUCACUCAUGAAAGAUAAGCAAAAGAAAAAAAGCAAUGAAUAACAGAAAGAAAUUUCUUAUAAAAAUUCAAUAAAAUUAAAAAAAUUAGCUAAUCAUCUUUUCUGGUUAAGUGAUUUCGUCAGCAAAUAAGAGAAAAUAGAAAUUCUGGAAUAUACCUAGGGUUUCUAGCUUUGGGAAUUUACCUAAUGAGAAAUCAGUCUCUCUGUUUCUAGAUUUGUAACUAUCAUGGCCGAGCGACCACGAUCAGCUGAGAUAAUUGGAUUUUGCACCGGCGACGAUGCAAAUGUUUGGGGUUGGGUUUGGGUUUGGGUUUGACGAUAGACGAAGGAAUGUUAGGGCUUUGGGUGAUUUAAGGAUUUUAUUUAAUUCAAGUAAAGUGAAAAUAACUAAAGUAUCCCUAAGUUGGUUACGCAUUUUGAUGUCCAGAAUAGUUAA
rnacentral:lncRNA from 1 species